AUGACGGCCGAUGCGGACUCCUCCUUGGGUGAGUGCUUCCCCCUACAGCAUCUUUCCGGUGGUGACACCCUCAUCCACCACCACGGGGCGACAAGAGCUCAGCCCCUUCCUGAGGGUCCCGUCCUCAACAUGCUCCAAAGCUCCAUGGGUACUGUUCUUCCUGUCACUGGUCUGUAUCUGUUACCGCACUCAUCGAUCUGUGGGUGCUCCUUAUUUUGGUUGAUCCCCUCGUCGGUUGGUCGUUGGAUCCGUGGCGGCCUUCAAGUCUUCAUCCACGUCCAAGGACCUGCAGAUGAGUCUCGUGAAGACGGUGAGCGGAAAGGAGACAAGGAUGGCGACUUGAUGCUCCUUGGAGACGUCCUCUGGAGGGAUUUCUUGGUUACUGUGGAGGCUGUUGGAUUGGGUGUUAUGACAUCUUCAGAAAUGAUCAAUUUUGGAUAUAUUGAAUUGGAUUUUCUCUCUGUUGGGCCCAUUGGUGGAGUCCCCCCUGGGGCCUUUGAAAUCCCAGAGCGGGCCCUGGGUUUAGUUUAUGACAAAGUGGAGAUGGAGGACUCCCGACGACAAAUGGAUGACACCGAGGAGGUGCAUUCUUACCAAGUAUUUUUUUUCCUUGUCCGGUGGACCAGCUCUUGGUUCCAGCUCUUGGUUCAGAGUUGGACGAGUCCGCUUGCCGGAGCCCCGCCGCCUGCCCGUUUCGAGCCGCCCACCUCGCUCAGCAAUUGCGACCCUGACCCCGGCCUGUUCGUGAGCUCGUGGGACUGCCUCACGCGGUCAGUCCACGGGGAUCGGGCGACGGCGUCUGGUUCUGAACGGCGAUGGAUGCCCGCGUGCCACUUGGAGAAGAGCACAAGAUGUUCAGGUAGGCUUAUCUCUCUGGGUGGACUGGUCUCCGCCGGCCGCAGGGCGCAGGCCAGGACAGUUAGAAGGAACCGGGAAACCUGCCAGCUGCUGGCGCGGCGUGUGAAGAUGAUUGGAGACCUUCUCCAGCAGCUCGAGAGCACGCAGCUGAUGCAACAUACGGAGACCGGGUCGGGUUUGCAGGCGCUGUUCGGCCACAGCCGAUUUCGGCCUUUAUAA
rnacentral:rRNA from 1 species